CCACCACUAAGCCAGUGGUGAACUCCACAUACGCAUCCUUUGCUGAGGAUACGGUUAACGGAGCGAAAGCGACGUUCAACCGCAAAAGAAGCAGAGGGGGCUUAGUGGUGGGGUGACUGCGUACCUUUUGUAUAAUGGGUCAGCGACUUAUAUUCUGUAGCAAGGUUAACCGAAUAGGGGAGCCGGAGGGAAACCGAGUCUUAACCGGGCGUUAAGUUGCAGGGUAUAGACCCGAAACCCGGUGAUCUAGCCAUGGGCAGGUUGAAGGUUGGGUAACACUAACUGGAGGACCGAACCGACUAAUGUUGAAAAAUUAGCGGAUGACCUGUGGCUGGGGGUGAAAGGCCAAUCAAACCGGGAGAUAGCUGGUUCUCCCCGAAAGCUAUUUAGGUAGCGCCUCGUGAAUUCAUCUCCGGGGGUAGAGCACUGUUUCGGCUAGGGGGCCAUCCCGGCUUACCAACCCGAUGCAAACUGCGAAUACCGGAGAAUGUUAUCACGGGAGACACACGGCGGGUGCUAACGUCCGUCGUGAAGAGGGAAACAACCCAGACCGCCAGCUAAGGUCCCAAAGUCAUGGUUAAGUGGGAAACGAUGUGGGAAGGCCCAGACAGCCAGGAUGUUGGCUUAGAAGCAGCCAUCAUUUAAAGAAAGCGUAAUAGCUCACUGGUCGAGUCGGCCUGCGCGGAAGAUGUAACGGGGCUAAACCAUGCACCGAAGCUGCGGCAGCGACGCUGAUGCGUUGUUGGGUAGGGGAGCGUUCUGUAAGCCUGUGAAGGUGGCCUGUGAGGGUUGCUGGAGGUAUCAGAAGUGCGAAUGCUGACAUAAGUAACGAUAAAGCGGGUGAAAAGCCCGCUCGCCGGAAGACCAAGGGUUCCUGUCCAACGUUAAUCGGGGCAGGGUGAGUCGACCCCUAAGGCGAGGCCGAAAGGCGUAGUCGAUGGGAAACGGGUUAAUAUUCCCGUACUUGGUGUUACUGCGAAGGGGGGACGGAGAAGGCUAUGUUGGCCGGGCGACGGUUGUCCCGGUUUAAGCGUGUAGGUGUGUGUUCCAGGUAAAUCCGGUUCACUUUAACACUGAGGCGUGAUGACGAGGCACUACGGUGCUGAAGCAACAAAUGCCCUGCUUCCAGGAAAAGCCUCUAAGCAUCA
rnacentral:rRNA from 1 species